rnacentral:rRNA from 1 species
UACGAAGGGUGCAAGCGUUGCUCGGAAUUACUGGGCGUAAAGCGUGCGUAGGUGGUUUGUUAAGUCUGCUGUGAAAGCCCCGGGCUCAACCUGGGAAUGGCAGUGGAUACUGGCAAGCUAGAGUGCGGUAGAGGGGUGUGGAAUUCCCGGUGUAGCGGUGAAAUGCGUAGAGAUCGGAAGGAACGCCGGUGGCGAAAGCGGCGCGCUGGACCUCUUCUGACGCUGAGGCGCGAAAGCUAGGGGAGCAAACGGG